AUUGAACGCCGGCGGCAUGCCUUACACAUGCAAGUCGAACGGCAGCACGGGAGCAAUCCUGGUGGCGAGUGGCGAACGGGUGAGUAAAGUAUCGGAACGUGCCCAGUCGUGGGGGAUAACGUAGCGAAAGUUACGCUAAUACCCAUACGAUCUAUAGAUGAAAGCGGGGGAUCGCAAGACCUCGCGCGAUUGGAGCGGCCGAUAUCAGAUUAGGUAGUUGGUGGGGUAAAGGCUCACCAAGCCGAUGAUCUGUAGCUGGUCUGAGAGGACGACCAGCCACACUGGGACUGAGACACGGGCCAGACUCCUACGGGAGGCAGCAGUGGGGAAUUUUGGACAAUGGGCGAAAGCCUGAUCCAGCCAUGCCGCGUGCAGGAUGAAGGCCUUCGGGUUGUAAACUGCUUUUGUACGGAACGAAAAGGUUUGGCCUAAUAAGCUGAGCUCAUGACGGUACCGUAAGAAUAAGCACCGGCUAACUCUGUGCCAGCAGCCGCCGUAA
rnacentral:rRNA from 1 species